CUGGGCCUCCAUCGCCCCAGCCCUGGCCGAGCCAGCCCUGUGGUCUCACGCUGCGCACGGGAAGGGGUGCCCUCCCUGCGGAUCGACGAUUUCCCCCGUCCCCAUUUAUUACAGCAGCACCAAGCGGGCACCCCGAAGAGCCGACGCUGGAAAUCGGCCAGACGGACCCCGGGCGGGAGAACGGCCAGAACGAGCUGUCCCAUGCGAGUGCCCCAUGACUUGUCUUCUUCGUGGGGAUGGGAUUCCGGGCUGGCGGAGUGGGAAGAGAGAAUCCAGGGCUCUGGACAGCCAGCUAGCCCCACUCCUCUGGAGCCCAGACUCCCCCAGCUACCAGCGCCCCACAGCUGGGCUGCAAGGAGCUCAUUGAGAGGAGACCAAAGAGCCCUCUGAUGGAUGUGCCCAAGAAACCAGCCUGCUGCCUGGCUGAGGAUGGAGCCCCCCGGCCGCCCCAGUGCGAUGGGACAGGGAAUGGUGUAUGGGCCCUGUCAAUGCUUUUCACUGACCACUUCCCUCCCUCACUGUGGAUCUCAAGGCACUUUAAGGAGUUCAUCCUCCCAGCUCCUCUGGGCGAUGUGGAUGCCCCGGACCCAGAGGAGGAAGAGGAGGAGGAUGUGGGGAAAGUGGGCUUCACGGAAGAGGACGACAAACAGCUGGACCUGACGGACCAGGAGAUGGACGACCUGAGGGCCCAGGUGCUGCAGCUGCUGAAGGAGCUGGAGGAGACGCGGGAGCUGGCAAUGAAGCACGAGGAUGACUCACUGGAGCUACAGGGCUUGUUGGAGGACGAGCGACUGGCCAGUGCCCGGCAGGCUGAGAUCUUCACCAAACAGAUCCAGAGGCUCCAAGCUCAGAUGCGCACGCUGAAGGAUGAGUUCAGCACCCUGCAGGAUAUGAAGGAGUCGGAGCUGGAGCAGGUGGAGCGGGAGCUGCAGGAGGCCAACGAAGAGAUCCACGGCCUGCGGCUGGAGGCGGAGGAGGUGGCUGCCAUCCACGAGAACGAGAUCGCCGCCCUGCAGGAGCAGCUGUGCCGGCUGCAGGCCGAGCUGCAGCGCUUCCAGAGGGUCCGCGAGGAGUACGAGACGGAGAUCACCACCCUGCGCGCCGAGAUCACGAUGAAGGCCAGCGGCCAGGCCCGGGCUGAGGGCCCCGCUGACAAGCUGGCUGUGCUCCAAGAGGAGCUGCUGUCCCUGCGGGAGCAGUACCGGGACCUGACAGAGGAGUACCAGACCCUGCAAGAGAGCAACAAGAUCAUGGUGCACCAUCUGGAGAACCUGGAAGCCCAGAAGUACAGAUCCAGGAGCAGGUCGGAAGAGUCUCACAAGUCGACGGACUCGGAAGUGAUCCAUGCCCCGGUGUGCCGGACCCUCUCUCCCCGGCGCGCCAGCCCCCGCCUGAGCGGCAGCGUCUCCUUCAAGAUGGUGGACAACACGAGAACCAUCAGCGCCCCCAGCCCCAAGGAGCCCCUGAGCCAGGACGAGGAGGACGACUCCGAGCUGAGCCUGCGCUUCAAGCUGCAGAGCGAGGAGGAGAAGGUGCAGCUGGCCCAGAGCAAGUGUGACAACAUGCAGACCGAGCUGCGGGAACUGCAGCGGCAGUAUCAGGCCAUCCAGCAGGAGCGCCAGCAGCUGCAGGAGGAGCUGAGGCUGUGCCGGGCGGAAAUCCAGAGACUCAACGGCACCGUCCCCGCUGACGGGCGGAGCCACCCCGCCCCCGAGAUCUCCCUCCCCUCAUAGGACUGGUUGUUAUAGUGGCUCUGCUCUGGUGCUGGUGGGCCGAGACCUCUUCCUAAUGCGGAUCAGGUCCCGGCCGGGGGGCUGAAGCCCAUCAUCCUCUUUGCGGUAGCUGCGGUUGCCUUGCUUCUGUACCCCUGCCUGAAGCGGUCCUGCGCCAGCUCCAUGCCAGCCUGAGGAGCGCUGUGCCCGGGCCAUGCCACACACGCAAGCCAGAUCCGCCCCUUACCCCCCAUGGCCUGCUGCCACUGGGAGGGCUGGAGACCCUUGCUCCAGCCCCCCUCAGUGCAUGGAGGUCACCCCCCUUCCCCCGGUCAGUCACGCCAUGGCAGCAUCUGCCCCCUCGUUACUGCAUCGGGGCUCAGGGUCAGGGACACUGUGUCUGUGGGGCAGGGAAGGGAGACUCCAGCCUCCUGCAGGUCAGCCCAGGAUGCUGCUCUGGUGGGUGCGUGGAUGUGCGGGGUGGCUGGGAUAGGGAGGGGGUGGGCUGCAGGCCCCGGGGGAGAGUGAGGGGCUCCCUGGAAAGCAGCCUCAGCCAUCCCUGGUGCUCCCCCCUCUGAGCUGGGUCCGGUCCCAUUGGAUCAUAGCACCAACUAGUGGGGAGGUGGGGGGUACAAGGGAUCCCUGCCAUCGACUCCCCAAACAGAACCUGUUCCAGUGGAGCCCCAGCCCCCGUUCUGCCCCCUCCAUCCCAGCCCCCGCCCUGACCCCCCUCCAUCCCAGCCCCCACCCUGACCCACACUGCUCCCCUGCCAUCCCAGCCCCCGCCCUGCCAUGGGGGAGCUGGGAUCCCAAGGGAACCCCAGCCAGGGCUCUGGUCCAGUCCCUGCUGAUUGGCGCCAUUUCCAGCGUGAGUCUGGUUCCCAGCCAGGCCAGCCCAGCUGCGCCGGGAGCCCCUCUGUGUGCCCCGCCAGGGGAGGUUCACGUUGCCUGGUUCUCGGUGCCCCUAUGUGGCCACUGCCAUGGAGCAUUGUUACCUCGGACAAGCUGCCGACAGCCUGGGAGUGGCAGGAUAGGCUUUGGCCGGGGUAGGGAGGAUGGGCACCAGCCUGCCACCCCCCCCUUCUGCCAGGGACUGUGCCAGGUCUCCACCCUACACUUCCACCGAAGCCCAGUCCUUCCGAACUUGCGCCCACCUCUUCCUCCCCACUCCCCUCUCCAGAACACAUUGGCUCCUCUCCAGAUCAGCCCGAGGGGGGUGCUAGAGACCAAUACCCAAAGCUCCCCGCCCCACCCACCAGAACCCUGCCCCCUGCUGGCCCGGCACUCGGCGUGAUCCACUGCAAUAAAUUGAAAACCAAGGAGGUCACGUGGUGCUUGAAGCAGCGGGCAAGCCUGGGCCAGGGUUUUUAGUUGGCAAUAUUUAAAAUCUGUCUUUACACUUGUGCUCCAUGUCUGGGAAGGUUUGACUGUCUCGGUGCCAUUCAGCAGGGAAGACCCAGGUGCCAGACAGUCCCUAGGGAGAGAGAUUUAUUUAUUUUUAAAGCGGGAGCCCUCAUGGUUUCCUCGUCUCCACCCGGGCGUUGCAUCUUGCUGUCACCCCUUUGCCCGAGGGCCCCUGCUACAAACCUUCCCCCGUCACCUCAUUUCAAUGUUAGUGCACCCCUUUCUUCUGCCCUCGGCAUGCAAGCCGUGGGCGCUGGCCCCAGGGCUGUGUGGGUGGCGUUUGCAAGCUCACUGGUAUCACGACUGCUCGUGACCGGUCAGCACGGACGGGCAGGGAGGGGGCCGUUGAAGAGAAAGGGGCUCUCAUGGGGGCUUCAAAAUGGCCCCGAAGCUUGACACCUUUCCCUGGGCAUGUAUUCUGGAAGUGCCUGCAUUUGGGCUGCAGGAGCUGACCUGGCCCCAUGGCCGGCUCCUGUUCUGGUCUGUCCCCGCCCAGCCCUGCGUCCCUGCUCUCCAACUGGAGCUGCGGCUGCCCCCCCCCCCCACUCGCGUGCUUGGGGGCUCCCUCUCUUUGUGGUUGUUGAAUGUUGUAACUUGGUAAAAGAACUUUCUAAAUCCA